rnacentral:rRNA from 1 species
GAUCCUGGCUCAGGACGAACGCUGGCGGCGUGCCUAAUACAUGCAAGUCGAGCGGACAGAAGGGAGCUUGCUCCCGGAUGUUAGCGGCGGACGGGUGAGUAACACGUGGGUAACCUGCCUGUAAGACUGGGAUAACUCCGGGAAACCGGAGCUAAUACCGGAUAGUUCCUUGAACCGCAUGGUUCAAGGAUGAAAGACGGUUUCGGCUGUCACUUACAGAUGGACCCGCGGCGCAUUAGCUAGUUGGUGAGGUAACGGCUCACCAAGGCGACGAUGCGUAGCCGACCUGAGAGGGUGAUCGGCCACACUGGGACUGAGACACGGCCCAGACUCCUACGGGAGGCAGCAGUAGGGAAUCUUCCGCAAUGGACGAAAGUCUGACGGAGCAACGCCGCGUGAGUGAUGAAGGUUUUCGGAUCGUAAAGCUCUGUUGUUAGGGAAGAACAAGUGCAAGAGUAACUGCUUGCACCUUGACGGUACCUAACCAGAAAGCCACGGCUAACUACGUGCCAGCAGCCG